AGCCUGAUUCACCUCUUGGGUGGGAUGGCUCAAGAUUUCAUUCCACUGUCGGGAAUGGAGUGAGACUUAAAACUUAUGAAUCACUUAUUUCUGGAAUUUUCUGUUUAAUGUUUUGGACACAGUUGAUCACAGGCUUUCUUUAUGUCCUGGACAGUCAAUCACUUCCUGCACCAGAUCCUCUGCCGUGCAAAGUAGCCCUAGAUGAUUGUAUAAGUUUAAAGGGCUAUAGUGACAUCUCACAACACUGUUCCCUUGGCCACAGAUGAGAUAAAGGGUGGACAGGCUCCCUCCCCAGCUUUCUGCAAAGAAUGGACUUGUCAAAGGCCUGAGUGGUGAUUAGAAUUGAGAAUUUUGCACAAGAGAAGAGCAGGAAGAGAAGAACGCUUUAUGAAGGCAGGGAAGGAAGAGAAGAACGCCAUAUGAAGAUGGAGGCAGAAACUGAAAUGCUGCAGCCACAAGCCAAGGUUGAGCCAUGAAUAUUCAAAACAUGGUCUGCCUGACUAUGCCACCCAUGGGAAAAAUCAACAAGAAGCGAUGUAUAUGGUAGAAAGGAAUGGGCGACAACAGCUCUUGCAAAUAGAGAGGGGAAUGAGACGUUUCUGCAUUUGCUACAUUAGGACCUAGGACAGCACUUCAGUGUUAGAUACUUAAAUGAUGUAUCAUUGCCUUAUAAAAUCACAAGAGUAACGCUUAAUUAACGGUAGUUGGGAAGCAUUAGCAUUAAAUGCUUAAGAGCGAUUCACUGGGAAGAAGCAUCCACAGACAGCUCCACUCCGCGAAGAGAGGAAAAGGAAAGAGCAACUGUUUUGAAAUGGCUUUUUCU